rnacentral:rRNA from 1 species
CGGCAGCGCGGGCUUCGGCCUGGUGGCUGAGUUUCCGGGCGAAAGCGGGUGAGUAAUACAAUCGGAACAUGGUCCUGUAGUGGGGGAUUAGCCCGGCGAAAGUCCGGAUUAAUUCCGCAUACGAUCUGAGGAUGAAAGCGGGGGACCUUUCGGGCCUCGCGCUAUAGGGUUGGCCGAUGGCUGAUUAGCUAGUUGGUGGGGUAAAGGCCUACCAAGGCGACGAUCAGUAGCUGGUCUGAGAGGACGACCAGCCCCCCUGGGGAUGAGACCCGGCCCCAGACUCCUACCGGGAGGCAGCAUGUGGGGGAUUUUUGGACAAUGGGGCGCCAGCCCUGAUCCAGCAAAUGCCCGCGUGUGUGAAAGAAAGGCCUUCCGGGUUUGUAAAAGCACUU